rnacentral:lncRNA from 1 species
UAGCGUCGAGCUCGAGUGAGGGGCGGAUGGAGGGGAAAAGCGGGCAUGGGAGGAAAUCGGGAGAAGCCUGAGUGUUGCGGCAUGGGGAGAUAGAGACUGGAUGUGUUUUGGAUCAGGGGCUCGGGAAUUUGGUUGGUCCAUCCAUGAACACAAUGCUGGAUUGGAUUGGAAAAAAAAAAUAGGUGGCGGCGACCUGGAUGGGCCAGGGCUACGGUUUGGUCUAGGGUUAGCUCUAAGUGGACUACAUUCAUAUAUAAGUGGACUACAUUCAUAUAUAAAUUGCAGUUGAC